AACGCGAAGAACCUUACCUGGCCUUGACAUCCACGGAAUUUGGCAGAGAUGCCUUAGUGCCUUCGGGAACCGUGAGACAGGUGCUGCAUGGCUGUCGUCAGCUCGUGUUGUGAAAUGUUGGGUUAAGUCCCGCAACGAGCGCAACCCUUAUCCUUUGUUGCCAGCACGUAAUGUUGGGAACUCAAAGGAGACUGCCGGUGAUAAACCGGAGGAAGGUGGGGAUGACGUCAAGUCAUCAUGGCCCUUACGGCCAGGGCUACACACGUGCUACAAUGGCGCAUACAAAGAGAAGCGACCUCGCGAGAGCAAGCGGACCUCAUAAAGUGCGUCGUAGUCCGGAUGCGGAGUCUGCAAUCUCGACUCCGUGAAGUCGGAAUCGUCUAGUAAUCGUAGAUCAGAAUGCUAGCGG
rnacentral:rRNA from 1 species